CUGACUUCCGGAGCGAUUUACGCUAUUGUUUUUACCGUUAGCUUAUUAGCUAGCUAACAGUCGUCGAUGCAUUUGUGACUGAAAUAGUUUGCUAUGCCUACGUUCAAAUGACAGCCCCGCGAAGGACGUGCUAAUGAACAUUGUUCAGUGCGUCUGUGUUCAGGUUCUUCAAAAUGUAAUGGUAUUGUGAGCUUCCGUAGUUUCCCAGUCGAUGUAGAGCUCAGGAAGCGGAGGUUGGGGGCAGAACGUCGUGACUACUUUACUGUCACCAAACGCGCAAAGGUGUGUAGUACACAUUUCGUCAAGAGUGACUUUGUUGAGGGAAAAAUUGUGUGGCGACAAUACCUAAAAAGAGGUGUUGUUCCUACAGUUUUCGAGUGGAACAGGCACAUUCAAAAGAGACCUGGUGUUUGGGAAUGAAGACUGAAACCUCCUGCGCCGACUGAGGAGGAUGAAGAACAAGGUGCGCUGCCUAUGGACUGUGCCGUCUUGAUCUGGUCCAGACAUAUGAUUACUGUGCAGUCCCCGAACAUGGCCCUACUGGCAAACCAUGAGUACAUAAGAGAAAUUGAGGAGCUUCGAGCCAAGCUGGAGAAACUGACCGCACAACCCGGCUUUGGUCUACAGCGAUUUGCUGGUUCUGACGAGGAUAUACGUUUUUACACAAGAUUUGCAAACUACACCCACCUGAUGGCCUUCUGGCACUUGAUUGAGCGGGCAGCAGAGACCAAGUUUAUAAGAGUCACAAGCACCAAUCCAUCUGAAACAAGUAUUACUUGAAGAAAACCAGUACGGGACAACUUCAUUAAAUGCAGUACUUAAUAGAGAAUGCUAUUUGAUCUUACUGUAACUGUUCAACAUUAUUUACUUUUUGUGCUAUGUACCGAAUGUAAGGACUUUAUUGUACUAAAACUGUUUUCUUUAUGUUCAAACCCUGCCAUCAAUCGACGAGUUCUUCUUGUUUAUUACUCAUCUGUCGCUGGGUCUGAAGCAGAAGGAUUUGGCCCAUCGGUUCAGGAUCCAGCAAUCGACAGUGAGACAGAUUAUCAUCGCUUGAGCCAUCUUCCUCUACUGCCUGCUUGGUUCAGCACGGAUAUGAGUGCCCAAGGAAAUAUCGACGUGCAGCUGCCACCUGAGUUCAAGGACUACAUGGAAAGAAUUACCAAAAAACUGAGCAAACUGGAAUGCUAUUUGGCCCUAAACAGAGAGAAACACUGGCAGAAUACCUGAACACUGACUGACCCAAAAUUAAGUAAAGCUUUGACUAUGUACAGACUCAGUGAGCAAAGUCUUGCUAAUGAGAAAGGCUGCCAUGGGCAGACCUGUCUCUCAAGAGAAAUAAUAUGUGCCCACAAAAUGAGGUGGAAACUGAGCUGCACUUCCUAACCUCCUGACAAAUGUAUGGCUAUAUUAGAGACACAUAAUUAUUUCCCUCAGAUUACACAGACCCACAAAGAACUUGAAAACAAAUACAAUUUUGAUAAACUCCCAUAUCUAUUGGGUGAAAUACUACAGUGUGCAAUCACAGCAGCAAGAUUUGUGACCUGUUGCCACAAGAAUAGUGCAACCAGUGAAGAAAAAACACAAUUUUAAAUACAACCCCUAUUUAUGUUUAUUUAUUUACACUUUUGUACUUUAAAUAUAACAUAUGUUUCCCAUGCCAAUAAGGCCCCUUAUAUUGAAAUGUAAUUAAAUGAAAUUGGGGAGAGAGAGACUGUCACGACUUCCUGCCCGUUUGGGUGGUGCUCGGCGGUCGUCGUCACCGUCCUAUUAGCCACUCCGAUCCCUUUUUCGUGUAUCUGUUGGUUUUGUCUAAUUGGUUUCACCUGUGUGUUGUUUAGUUAAUUAGUGUCUGUAUUUAAUGUAGGUUGUCCCGCCCUUGUUUUGUGCAGGAUUGUUUAUUUUGUCAUUUCGUUUUGUCUGUCGGUGUUUGCUGUUUGUUAUUCUCCGGUUAGUCUUUAUCCUGUGUUGGAUAUAUUCACCCUGUCUGUAUUUGGGUUGACCGUUGUUUAUUUUGUUCACCGGAGAAUAAAACUUUAUAUCGCUA